rnacentral:rRNA from 1 species
UACGUAGGGUGCAAGCGUUGUCCGGAAUUAUUGGGCGUAAAGAGCUCGUAGGCGGUUUGUCGCGUCUGCUGUGAAAACCCGAGGCUCAACCUCGGGCCUGCAGUGGGUACGGGCAGACUAGAGUGCGGUAGGGGAGAUUGGAACUCCUGGUGUAGCGGUGGAAUGCGCAGAUAUCAGGAAGAACACCGAUGGCGAAGGCAGAUCUCUGGGCCGUAACUGACGCUGAGGAGCGAAAGCAUGGGGAGCGAACAGG